rnacentral:rRNA from 1 species
UACGGGAGGCAGCAGUGGGGAAUAUUGCACAAUGGGCGAAAGCCUGAUGCAGCUAUGCCGCGUGUAUGAAGAAGGCCUUAGGGUUGUAAAGUACUUUCAUCGGGGAGGAAAAAACAAAACUAAUAAUUUUAUUUCUUGACGUUACCCGAAAAAGAAGCACCGGCUAACUCCGUGCCAGCAGCCGCGGUAAUACGGAGGGUGCUAGCGUUAAUCAGAAUUACUGGGCGUAAAGAGCACGUAGGUGGUUUUUUUAAGUCAGAUGUGAAAUCCCUGGGCUUAACCUGGAACUGCAUUUUGAAACUGAAAUACUAGAGUAUCGUAGAGGGAGGUAGAAUUCUAGGUGUAGCGGUGAAAUGCGUAGAUAUCUGGAGGAAUACCUGUGGCAAAGCGGCCUCCUAAACGAAUACUGACACUGAGGUGCGAAAGCGUGGGGAGCAAACAGGGAUUAGAUACC